UGUCUGGUAGGUGACAGUUUAACAAAGGCUGGCAAAUGAAUGAAGACAGAUCUGUCCCUUGGUCCUCAGUCAUGAACUCACGCUGCUGCUGGUGUUCUCUGCCGUGCAUUUCUAGUCUUGCUUCUGUAGUUCCUCUCCUCCCCCAGAUAAAAUAAUGAAGCCAGACUUCUUACCUUCAAAAGGCUAGUUCUAUUUCUAAAGCUAUUUUGUGGGUUCUUUUGAGAGGCUUGAAAUGUCUCCUAUUUCCCCCAGGAGAGUCCAGGUGAAGGGUUGGCAAAUGGUGCCGCAAACCGAAAGAACUUACCCUUGAAGUUAAAUGAAAAUGACACUGUGUCCCUUCUCUUUUAAUUUCAAUCCCUGUCUUUGUCAGUUGGCAGGGACUAUGCAGGUUGGAAAAGCUUCGUUCCUUCCCCGCCCCCAUGCCCUGGAAUUCCUUGUAACCCCGUGUGAUUUCUGAAUUUCCCUCACUGGUUUUUAUUGCUUAAGUGUACUUGAAAUAACCUUUGAAUAUGGGAAAGGGUUUCAGCACAGUCCCACGGUAGCAGGGGACAGUCAGUGAUUGUAGGAAAGUAUUUUUUUACAGCCCUGACAGCAAGAGGCUGUUUUCUCGGAUGGGCACUGGACAAAUGUGCUGCACAAUGGCUACUUGUAGAGGUUAGAGUAACUUCUUUGGUUCACAUUUCUCCAGAAGGUGAUCCCAGGUCGGUGGCCUGGUUAAGGCUCUUCCUUGUUUCAGUCCACCUGGUUAUUCUCAUGCUCAUCAGACCUAUGAUUCCCUCUUUGAUGACGCUCCCAUGGCCAAAGGGGGGUAUCCUGUCAUCUUGGCACCUUGUUGCAAGAACAAAGUGGUCACCUCCGAGCAGGUCUGGACACUCAGGCGCUGCCCUCUGAGCGAGUGAGGGCCCUGCAGGGGCUUCGGGCGAGCCGCGCAGUGCUGGAGAGGAGACCACGGCCAUCGCGGCACAGUCACUGCCUUGUGAGGAUUGGACCCGCCCAUGUCCCUUAAAGAAGGACUGUCUUCUAAGAAAGGGAGAGGACAAGCCAGAGGCCUCCCGGUUCACUGUCUCAUCGCAAUACUGACCAACCCCCGCAGGCUUAGCGCCUCUUUCCUUUAGAUCUCUAAGCGGCCCCACUGGGGACAGGGGGGCACCGGUGGUGACACGGCCAGUCUGGCUCUCCAGGGCUGUGAGGGGAAGUCAUUUACCUCUAACCUCACAGCCCACAACUGCCAAAUGAGAAGGACAAUGUCCAUGCUGCAAGAAUAAGCAUGAUGAGUUUAGCACCUGCCAGCAUGCAGAUGGUUCAUAAAUGAUUGUUGUUCUUCUUGCUACGUAACAAUCUUACUUAGGCUUUCCAAACUCAUAGGAGUUGGGAGGGCUCAGCUCUAGUGGCCCUUCUUCCUCACCUUACUCUCCCUCCUGCAGCUCUUGGCUGGCCUGACCACAGAAUCCACCUUGCAAUCGUAUGCAAAUACAGACUGUGUCUUAUCUGCCUGCUAGAUUGAAGCUCACAGAGGUUAAGGCCUCAAGACAACAGGCUAGUUGGUGGUGGAACUGGGGUUUGAACACUGACCCGUAUUCCUUAUCCCAGGAAAAUGGGAAAAAAUAAUUUAAGGCACCAAGUUCUAGGAACUUGCACAAGGCACUUUCCCUCACUUUUGCUUUGAGGUGGAAUGAGCGGUUCUGCGCUGACCCUCACUGGGCACAGGGGCCAGGCCAGGCCUGCUGGUCUCCAGCAUGCAGCACAAAUGAUGGGAACCUACCAACUUGCCAGUUUCCCAAUCAGGGUGGACUGCACCCUGGACCCCUUGUGGACUGGACCCCUUGACAUAUGGGUCCAAACUCCUGCUAGAGGACAGCCGUGGAGGAAGUGCUCGGAGGGUGCUGGGCCAGCAGGAAGUGGGAGCUGUUCAUAGCACAGAGGAUGUGGCUCAAGUCAAGGUAUGAGAAAUGAAAGCUAGGGAGGAAGUAGAAGGGGGAUCCGUAGGUGCCUCGAGGACAAGGAAGUGGCUUUGUUGGCAAAGGUGGAAGGAGAAGACAGCAUGGAGGCUGAGCGCUGGGUGGGGGUGUGUGUGGAAGCCGUGUGCCCUCUUUCAGUGUCUGCGUGAGGAGCAACACUGGGGCACCAGGUGAGACUUCUGAUGCAUGCAGGUUCCGAGUCAUUUCUCAGAGGAGCCACUUUUGGGGAGCAAUGUAACUUCCGAAGGCAAUGAACCACUGAGUUCAGAGGUCUAGCAGACAGCAGUGAGGUCCCUUGGGACGUGCUGCUGGCCGGGAGCUCCGCUAGGGGCAGGAAACCCACUGAGCUCCAGUGUUAAGUAAUUCCAUCCUCACAAUGACACUGAGAGGUGGGCAAAUGCUAUUACCCACACCUGACAGAGAGGAGGCAGCUCAGAGUCCCAGUGCCCAGGUAACUUGUCCAAAAGCAGAGGUCGGCAGGCAGGUUGAUCUCAAGCAGUCUGUCUGAUGCCAGAAUCAAAAUUCCUUCUGCCAAGGGGCUUCUUCAUAUCCAGGUCUUGCUUGGAAAUUUUUCUCCCUUUACAUGUGAAUAAGGAGCAUAAUCAGAGGCCAUUUUUUAGGUCAGGGGUCCCUUUGGAAGCCAGGUGAAAGCCAGUAUCUAAGAGGACAUCUACCCUAUGAUUUAGGGGCUAGGGAUCCUGUGAGUGCAUCUAUUAGCCCCUUAAUGUCCACGGACACAGUUCAGGAACUCUGGAGAUAGAGGAAGGGAAGCCAGAAGUCAGAAAAGAAAGAGGCCUCAAUGGAAACAGAUUCAAAGACUGAAUUGUCAGUCCAACAUGUGCAUUAUGAAUUUGUUGCCUUGAUCAUAACUUGUCUCAAUAAACAUGGCUGUAUUACCUCAUGUGA